rnacentral:lncRNA from 1 species
AUGGGCCUGGAACAGAUCCUUAAUUCUGCCACAGGCAGCUGGGUGGCUCUUUGCAUCUCAGUUUUGCAUCAGUAAAGUGGGAAUGUGAACACCAACCUGACACAGGCUGGGAUGUUUGUUCACCUGUUCACUGCUAUAUCUCAGCACCUAGGAUACAGAGGCAUGUAGUAGGUGCACCAUGAGUAUUUCUCAAUGAAAGAACAUAUCAAUUCAGUGUCGCUAUGCACCUAUCCAUAUGCUUUGUACUGGAUUAUGUGGCUAAUGGUUAUGAAGUGCCCAGCAUCACAGAGGCUCAGUGAAUGCGAGUCCUCUCUUUGUUCACAAGACCGUGAGUUCCUUGGGGGCCAGAGCUCUGAUAAGUGGGCUCUGGGGCCUCUGAACUGAGUGUGGGAUCAAGUACCAAGCUGGCAAUAAUCAGAGAGAGGGCCUUAAGCAGCUAGACUCAGGGUCUUGGCUUCGGCCUGGGGAAGGAGUGACCUGAUGCAGCCCAGAGGGGAGGGUGGCUGGGAAGGUCUGAGGCUGAAGGUGGGAGGGGUAAGGAGGGGCUCUGACGCAUAGAACUGCCACUUUCCCAGCUGUGUGACCUUGGACAAGUCACUAACCUCUCUGAGUCUUGGCGGCCUCAUCUGUGACAUGCAUAUUAUGACACUUGUUGGGCGUUCCCGUCAUAGAGCAGUGGAAACAAAUCCAACUAGGAACCAUGAGGUUGUGGGUUCGAUCCCUGGCCUCGCUCAGUGGGUUAAGGAUCUGGCGUUGCCAUGAGCUGUGGUUGUAGGUCGCAGACAUGGCUCAGAUCCUGAGUUGCUGUGGCUGUGGUAUAAGCUGGCAGCAACAGCUCUGAUUCAGCCCCUAGCCUGGGAACCUCCAUAUGUCACAGGUUCGGCCCUAAAAAAGACAAAAACAAAAACAAAAACAAAACCCACUUGUCCCACACUGUAAUUGUUGGUUUCCUCCCAGCACUGGGCUCAUUCUGGGGGGGACUAAGUAAAGCGUUUCUCUUUUUGGCUCCUUUCUCUUACGUUUAACUUCUCACCCCUGUGGAAUUAGAAUCCAGAAGUUGGGAGCCCCUGAUUCCCCAGCAGGCUGGCCAGGGCCCAGGGAUAAGGGCUGGGUUCUGCCCAGUGUGGAAGUAGCUCAAUGGAGGUCCCAGCUCCGCCGUUUUUUGCUGUGUGACUUGGUUCACGAACCCACCUUCUCUGGGCCUUGGUAGCUUCCUCUGUAAAAUGGUGUUAAUAGGAGUUCCCUAGAGGCUCAGCAGGUUAAGGAUGCAACAUUGUCAUUGCUGUGGCUCUAUUUACUGCUGUGGUACAGAUUUGAUCCCUGGCCCAGGAACCUCUGCAUACCAUGAGCGCAGCCAAAAAAAAGGUGGGGGGGGAGUUAAUAAAUAAAUCCCUCCCCAGAAGGAUAUUCAAAGGGCAAACAGGUGGGCAAGGCAUCAUCAUCAUCAUCCCUCUUAGUGCCUAGAGAAUGGCAUCCUGCCUUGGCCUGGGGAGCCUGAGAAGCUCUAGUCUCUCUAUGGACUGUUGUCAUUUAUUGGAUGUUUCUUAUAUACUGGGCUGGUUGUUAUGUGCUAUUUCAGACACAUUAUCUCAUCUAGUCCUCCCAGUGACCCUGUGAGGUAGGCAGUAUGGUCUCUACUUUUAUGCAUGAAGGAACUGGUGCUGAGUAAAUCAAGUGAGUUACCCAGAGUCACAUAGUUAUUUAGGGCCUCAAUUCUUUUUUUUUUUUUUUUUUUUUAUUUUCCCACUGUACAGCAAGGGGGUCAGGUUAUCCUUACAUGUAUACAUUACAAUUACAUUUUUUCCCCCACCCUUUGUUCUGUUGCAACAUGAGUAUCUAGACAUAGUUCUCAAUGCUAUUCAGCAGGAUCUCCUUGUAAAUCUAUUCUAAGUUGUGUCUGAUAAGCCCAAGCUCCCAAUCCCUCCCACUCCCUCCCCCUCCCAUCAGGCAGCCACGAGUCUCUUCUCCAAGUCCAUGAUUUUCUUUUUUGAGGAGAUGUUCAUUUGUGCUGGAUAUUAGAUUUCAGUUCUAAGUGAUAUCAUAUGGUAUUUGUCUUUGUCUUUCUGGCUCAUUUCACUCAGUAUGAGAUUCUCUAGUUCCAUCCAUGUUGCUGCAAAUGGCAUUAUGUCAUUCUUUUUUAUGGCUGAGUAGUAUUCCAUUGUGUAUAUAUACCACAUCUUCCUAAUCCAAUCGUCUGUCGAUGGACAUUUGGGUUGUUUCCAUGUCUUGGCUAUUGUGAAUAGUGCUGCAAUGAACAUGCGGGUGCACGUGUCUCUUUUAAGUAGAGUUUUGUCCGGAUAGAUGCCCAAGAGUGGGAUUGCGGGAUCAUAUGGAAGUUCUAUGUAUAGAUUUCUAAGGUAUCUCCAAACUGUUCUCCAUAGUGGCUGUACCAGUUUACAUUCCCACCAACAGUGCAGGAGGGUUCCCUUUUCUCCACAGCCCCUCCAGCACUUGUUAUUUGUGGAUUUAUUAAUGAUGGCCAUUCUGACUGGUGUAACAUAGCCUCAAUUCUUAAUGUGAAAUUCUCUUACCUCCCCCAAGGAGGCAAUGACUGGAUCUGAGUCUUCUCUGUCCAUCUCCAACCCCGGCAUAGGACUGGUGGGAGCCGCUGGACUGUUCGCUGAAUACACUACUACUACCACACACACACACACACACACACACACACACACUGUACCCCUUCCCAACCUGGUGCUCUCAGAGUUUUGAAGAAAGGAGAGCACAGAAAGCAGGAGAAGGCCCAACAGUGUAGCUGCUGAGAGUCAGACAGAGCUGGCCUGAAUCCUGCAUCUAUCGCUUGCCAGUUGUGUGACCUUGGGCAAGACAUUCCCCCUUUUAGAGCCUUAAUUUCCUUAUCUGUAAAAUGGGGAUUAAAAAAAGAUCUUAUGAGGAUUAAAUAAUGCAUGUAAGGUACAUGGUGAAUUCUCAAUGAUAGUAAUUAUUGCUAUUAUUGUAGUUAUAGUUGUGAGUAUUAUUUGGGGAUUAGAAAGAUAUCCCUCUUGAGACAGUGGAGACCAGGUCUGGGAGGAACCCCCUGGGGACAGGCAGGAAGUAACUAAUCUAACAGGUUCUGAAAGGCACCUGCAAGUAGGGCGAAGGGAGGGAGGAGGGCUCUCGAAAGUAAGAAAGAACCUCCUUUUCCUAGCCAUCUGCUUCCACCCAUACCCACUCCGAGCCAGGCGCUGUGCUGGGCAUGAUACAGAGAUUAGUCUGUAUCACCUCUUUCCCCACUACCUCCUCCCCCUGGAGCUCAGAGUCUGGUUGAGGAGAAGGACACAGAAACUGCCAACUCCAUCUUUGAUCGAUGCACUAAAGUGUGAACUGUGAAUAUCUCCUCAGGCAAAAAGCAGGAGAAAGGGCAUUCCUAGUGGAGGAGCUGCUUUGCCAACUUCCAGAGCCAUGAGCUGCACUUGGGGGAUGUGGUUAUAGAGACAGGCCCAGGGGAGUUAGGGGGCUUGACCCAGAGGCCAUGGGGGACCAUCGAAUAUAAAGCAGGGGGAUGGCGUGGUCAGACUUGUAUUUCAGGAGGGUCACUUGGGGUGGAGGACAGAAAGGAGGGGAGGGGCAGGGGUGACUCUCUAGGUGAGAGAUGCCAAGAUAUGGGGCCUGGGACUGGGCCAUGGGAUGCAGAGCAGGGGUGGCUGUGAGCUCUGUCCAGGAAAGAGAGCCAGCAGGGUGUGGUAAGGGCCUGCAGUGGGCAGGCAGGUGAGUGAGGUCUUGGGUCUGGGGUGACGGGGCCUGCCAGGGUCUCUGGCCGAGGGACACAGCUGGGUUGGGGGGUAAAAGCCAUUGUCUGCUCCUUGUCACCUUCCACCUCAGACAGCAGCUAUGUCUGAGCUGGCCACCAGGGCCAAUGCCCCCUACUCCUCCCUUGGGGGUCCCUUGUGGUGACCCUGGCUGGUCUGGCAAGGGUGAGAGCUCUUUAGGGUGGGGGCUGGGCAGGGGCUGUGAGAUGCAGAGGAGCCCUGGGUUCUAGCCCUACCAGUGUCACUGCAUGUCUCUGUGACCCCUAGAAGUCACUCCCUCUCUUGCCCUGUUGUCCUCGCCUUGAGAGUGAGCAUGAGAGAACUUGUUUUGUCUGCCUCAAAGAUUCAAUGAUAAAAUACAACGUCUAAAAAAAUAAAUAAAUAAAAAGGAAUUCCUGUCGUGGCGCAGCAGUUAAUGAAUCCGACUAGGAACCAUGAGGUUGCGGGUUCGGUCCCUGGCCUUGCUCAGUGGGUUAAGGAUCCAGCAUUGCCCUGAGCUGUGGUGUAGGUUGCAGACACGGCUCAGAUCCAGCGUUGCUGUGGCUCUGGUGUAGGCCGGUGGCUACAGCUCCGAUUGGACCCCUAGCCUGGGAACCUCCAUAUGCUGCGGGAGCGGCCCAAGAAAU